rnacentral:rRNA from 1 species
CUACGGAGGGUGCAAGCGUUAUCCGGAAUCACUGGGUUUAAAGGGUGCGUAGGCGGCUAAAUAAGUCAGAGGUGAAAUCUUUCCGCUUAACGGAAAAAUUGCCUUUGAAACUGUAUAGCUUGAAUGAAGUUGAGGUUAGCGGAAUGUGACAUGUAGCGGUGAAAUGCAUAGAUAUGUCAUAGAACACCAAAUGCGAAGGCAGCUAGCUAGGCUUGAAUUGACGCUGAGGCACGAAAGCGUGGGGAGCGAACAGGAUUAGAAACCCCAGUAGUCC